rnacentral:rRNA from 1 species
UACGGAGGGGGCUAGCGUUGUUCGGAAUUACUGGGCGUAAAGCGCGCGUAGGCGGCGAUUUAAGUCAGAGGUGAAAAGCCCGGGGCUCAACCCCGGAAUAGCCUUUGAGACUGGAUUGCUAGAAUCUUGGAGAGGCGAGUGGAAUUCCGAGUGUAGAGGGUGAAAAUUCGUUAGAUAUUCGGAAAGAAACACCUAGUGGCGAAGGCGGACUG